rnacentral:rRNA from 1 species
UGGGGAAUAUUGGACAAUGGGCGCAAGCCUGAUCCAGCCAUGCCGCGUGAGUGAUGAAGACCCUAGGGUUGUAAAGCUCUUUCACCGGUGAAGAUAAUGACGGUAACCGGAGAAGAAGCCCCGGCUAACUUCGUGCCAGCAGCCGCGGUAAUACGAAGGGGGCUAGCGUUGUUCGGAUUUACUGGGCGUAAAGCGCACGUAGGCGGACUUUUAAGUCAGGGGUGAAAUCCCGGGGCUCAACCCCGGAACUGCCUUUGAUACUGGAAGUCUUGAGUAUGGUAGAGGUGAGUGGAAUUCCGAGUGUAGAGGUGAAAUUCGUAGAUAUUCGGAGGAACACCAGUGGCGAAGGCGGCUCACUGGACCAUUACUGACGCUGAGGUGCGAAAGCGUGGGGAGCAAACAGG